AAUCUUCCACAAUGGGCGAAAGCCUGAUGUAGCAACGACGCGGGAGUGAAGAAGGUUUUCGGAUCGUAAAACUCUGUUGUAAGGGAAGAACAAGUACAGUAGUAACUGGCUGUACCUUGACGGUACCUUAUUAGAAAGCCGCGUCUAACUACGUUCCAGCAGCCGCGGUAAUACGUAGGUGGCAAGCUUUGUCCGGAAUUAUUGGGCGUAAAGCGCGCGCAGGCUGUCCUUUAAGUCUGAUGUGAAAGCCCACGGCUCAACCGUGGAGGGUCAUUGGAAGCUGGGGGACUUGAGUGCAGAAGAGGAAAGUGGAAUUCCAAGUGUAGCGGUGAAAUGCGUAGAGAUUUGGAGGAACGACAGUGGCGAAGGCGACUUUCUGGUCUGUAACUGACGCUGAGGCGCGAAAGCGUGGGGAGCAAACAGG
rnacentral:rRNA from 1 species